rnacentral:rRNA from 1 species
AACGUAGGUGGCGAGCGUUAUCCGGAUUUACUGGCCGUAAAGCGUGUGCAGGCGGGGGGGCAAGGGGGGUAUGAAAUCGCCAGGCUAAACCUGGCGCGGUUAUGCCAGACUGUCUAUCUGGAGUGCGAGAGAGGGGCGUGGAAUUCCGGGUGUAGUGGUGAAAUGCGUAGAGAUCCGGAGGAACCCCAGAGGCGAAGGCGGCGCCCUGGCUCGCAACUGACGCUCAGACACGACAGCAUGGGGAGCGAACGGG